UACGUAGGGUGCAAGCGUUGUCCGGAAUUAUUGGGCGUAAAGAGCUCGUAGGCGGUCUGUCGCGUCUGCUGUGAAAACUCGGGGCUUAACCCCGGGCCUGCAGUGGGUACGGGCAGACUAGAGUGCGGUAGGGGAGACUGGAAUUCCUGGUGUAGCGGUGAAAUGCGCAGAUAUCAGGAGGAACACCGGUGGCGAAGGCGGGUCUCUGGGCCGUAACUGACGCUGGAGGAAGCGAAAGCCGUGGGGAGCAAACAGG
rnacentral:rRNA from 1 species